UACAGAGGGUGCGAGCGUUGUCCGGAAUCACUGGGCGUAAAGGGCGCGUAGGCGGCUUGAUAAGGUUGCGGUGAAAGCCCGGGGCUCAACCCCGGGUCGGCCGUGGCAACUGUCGAGCUGGAGCACUGUAGAGGCAGGUGGAAUUCCGGGUGUAGCGGUGGAAUGCGUAGAGAUCCGGAAGAACACCGGUGGCGAAGGCGGCACUCUGGGACGGUACUGGACGCUCAUGCACGAAAGCGUGGGGAGCAAACAGG
rnacentral:rRNA from 1 species